rnacentral:rRNA from 1 species
AGAGUUUGAUCCUGGCUCAGAUUGAACGCUGGCGGAAUGCUUUACACAUGCAAGUCGAACGGCAGCACGGGGGCAACCCUGGUGGCGAGUGGCGAACGGGUGAGUAAUACAUCGGAACGUGCCCAGUCGUGGGGGAUAACUACGCGAAAGCGUAGCUAAUACCGCAUACGAUCUACGGAUGAAAGCGGGGGAUCGCAAGACCUCGCGCGAUUGGAGCGGCCGAUGGCAGAUUAGGUAGUUGGUGGGGUAAAGGCUCACCAAGCCGUCGAUCUGUAGCUGGUCUGAGAGGACGACCAGCCACACUGGGACUGAGACACGGCCCAGACUCCUACGGGAGGCAGCAGUGGGGAAUUUUGGACAAUGGGCGAAAGCCUGAUCCAGCCAUUCCGCGUGCAGGAUGAAGGCCCUCGGGUUGUAAACUGCUUUUGUACGGAACGAAAAGCCUUCUUCUAAUACAAGAGGGUCAUGACGGUACCGUAAGAA